CUGGUGAAUCGUUCAGCCUGCUGCAGCUCAUUGCCAACGACGGCUACAAGAUGGGCCAGUUCUACUAUGCUUUCGAUGUCCUGGAAAGAUUGGACCCCAAUCCUGAAUACUGGGAAGGCAAGCGAGGGGCGUGCGUGGGCGUAUUCCAGCAGAUCAUUGCUGGUCAUGAACCAAGAGAAACACUCUGCGAGACAUCCUCCAAAUCUUGCGCAACACCGGUAACCCGCAGGUGGAAUACAUCAUCCGUGUCAUGAAGAAGUGGGCCAAGGACAACAGGGUACCAGUUUCCUGAGGUGGUCCCUAUCCUAGUCUUGAGAUUGUUUAGAUUUGUACAUCCCAAAUGUCCUGCUUCGCAAAGGGAUUUUCCAAAGUAUUUGUUCUUCACAUUGGGAAAUUUGCCUUGAAAUAUUUCUCUAUUUAGCUUUGGCAAGAUGGUUAUGCAGGAGAAAACAACAGUUCUGGAGAGAGGCUUAAGUCUCUCAUGGCAUAAACAAAGUAGGCUUGCCUGGUUAAGCUGGACUGUGUGACUCGGUCAGUGACUCAGUCAACAACUCAGUGACUCGAUCAGCGACUCAGUGAUUCAGUCAGAUUCAGUCAGUGACUCGUCAGUGACUCGUCAGUGAUUCGGUCAAUGUCUUCGUUAGUGAAUCACUCAGUGACUCAUUGAGCAACGUGGUGGCUGUCGUCAACUCAGUGACUUGGUCAGUGACUCCGUCAGUGCCUCAUUGAGCGACUCAGUGACUCAGUCAUGCAGUGACUCGGUGACUCGGUCAGUGUCUCAUCCCGCAGUCAGUGAUUCGGUCAGUGA